UACGUAGGUGGCAAGCGUUGUCCGGAAUUAUUGGGCGUAAAGAGCGCGCAGGCGGUCGUUCAAGUCGCGUGUGAAAGCCCCCGGCUCAACUGGGGAGGGUCACGCGAUACUGAUCGACUCGAAGGCAGGAGAGGGAAGUGGAAUUCCCGGUGUAGUGGUGAAAUGCGUAGAUAUCGGGAGGAACACCAGUGGCGAAGGCGACUUCCUGGCCUGUUCUUGACGCUGAGGCGCGAAAGCUAGGGGAGCAAACGGG
rnacentral:rRNA from 1 species